CCCUUAGAUGUUCUGGGCUGCGCGCGUGCUACAAUGGCGUUUCCAGCAAGUCUGCGAACCCGAGAGGGCCAGCGGAUCUUCGAAUUGGCGUCGUGAUCGGGACAGUCGAUUGCAAUUAUUUGACUCAAACGAGGAAUUCCUUGUAAUCGCGAUUCAUCAUAUCGCGCUGAAUACGUCCCUGCCCUUUGUACACACCGCCCGUCGCUCCUACCGAUUGAGCGAUCCGGUAAAUGUUUUGGAUUGGUGCCGGGGCGGCUAGCUGCCGGUCGCUACGAAAUUUUGUGAACCUUAUCGCUUAGAGGAAGGAAAAGUCGUAACA
rnacentral:rRNA from 1 species